rnacentral:lncRNA from 1 species
GAUCUAAAUGGGACCAUUGUUCACUUUCUUGAGUGUGAUAAAGGACAGUGUGGAUACACUGGACAAAAGGAUGACUAACAUCCUGAGUUAGACACAGCAGGGUGGGCCAAGACUUUAUCAUGUUACUCAGAAUGGAGUGCAAUUUAAAACUCAUGAAUUGUUUAUUUUUGUAAUUUUCUGUUUAAGAUUUUUGAGCUGAGAUUGACCAUGGAUAACUGUCCCACAGAAACUGAAACAGUGGAUAAGGGGUACUACUAUAUCGUUAGGAUAAUAAAGUAGACUACAAAAUAGUUCCAUCAGUAUAACUGCAACUUAAACAAAUACUACACAGAGAGGGGAGAAAAGACUAGAAGGUACCUCACCAAAAAUGAUUGCAACUCCUUUAAACUGUUAGUAAGAACUAAUACGUACAGGUCCAGCAAGGAGCCUCCCAGAUGGAGUACAUGGAGACCAUGACUGUGAAAGAUGAGGAUCAAGUGCAGAUUUGGUGGCCUCUGAUUGCCAGUAUCUGGCAGCCACAUUCUCUUCCCACAAGAUGUGCUGGAAAUAUGACCAAGCAGAAGUUCACUUAAGUGAAUCCAACAGUUAAACCUACCAUGGAAGGGUGUGGUGCACAGAGGGCAUGUGGAGAAGAGAAGACCACAGUGGGAACCUCCAAGGAACUAACAUCUAGCUGGGGAUGAGGGGGGAUUUGGCUAUGUAGAGAGUAAAUAAAGUGAUAUGAGAAUUAAAGUAAGGGGCCAGUUAUUUCCAAAUGGGGAAAUGGGGCAGGCUUCAUGGAGAAGGGAACGUUUAAUCUGGGUCACAUGGAAUGAAUAGGACUGGAAAUGGAGUUUAUAAGAGCGAGAAUAUUUUACUUAGAGGAAACUACAUUUAAAGAAAGGAUGGCUGUGUAGGUGUAUUGCUUCUUUGCAGAUACAUACAAUUUAAUAUGCCUGGAGUGCAGAUUCUAUGUGACUGAGGUGAGUAGGGACAAAGGGAGAGAUGAUUCAGAGAGGCAGAUAGAGGAAAAUCAUGCAGGGCUU